UGAUGUGAUUGUAGAGCGCAAUCACGUAAAUCAAAAGAAAGCUCAAUCGAUG
ncrna:unclassified sequences 6A RNA